AGGACGAACGCUGGCGGCGUGCUUAACACAUGCAAGUCGAACGGAAAGGCCCGCUUGCGGGUACUCGAGUGGCGAACGGGUGAGUAACACGUGGGCAACCUGCCCUCAGCUUCGGGAUAACACUUGGAAACAGGUGCUAAUACCGGAUAAUAACCUUUCAUCGCAUGGUGUGGGGUUCAAAGUUUUUCGGCUGGGGAUGGGCCCGCGGCCUAUCAGCUUGUUGGUGGGGUAAUGGCCUACCAAGGCGACGACGGGUAGCCGGCCUGAGAGGGCGACCGGCCACACUGGGACUGAGACACGGCCCAGACUCCUACGGGAGGCAGCAGUGGGGAAUAUUGCGCAAUGGGCGGAAGCCUGACGCAGCGACGCCGCGUGAGGGAUGACGGCCUUCGGGUUGUAAACCUCUUUCAGCUCUGACGAAGCGCAAGUGACGGUAGGAGCAGAAGAAGCACGGCCAACUACGUGCCAGCAGCCGCGGUAA
rnacentral:rRNA from 1 species